rnacentral:rRNA from 1 species
UACGUAGGGUGCGAGCGUUAAUCGGAAUUACUGGGCGUAAAGCGUGCGCAGGCGGUUAUGUAAGACAGUUGUGAAAUCCCCGGGCUCAACCUGGGAAUUGCAUCUGUGACUGCAUAGCUAGAGUACGGGUAGAGGGGGAUGGAAUUCCGCGUGUAGCAGUGAAAUGCGUAGAUAUGCGGAGGAACACCGAUGGCGAAGGCAAUCCCCCUGGACCUGUACUGACGCUCAUGCACGAAAGCGUGGGGAGCAAACAGG